UACGGAGGGUGCAAGCGUGUCCGGAUUUAUUGGGUUUAAAGGGUGCGUAGGCGGUUUAAUAAGUCAGUGUUUAAAGUCUGCAGCUUAACUGUAGGAAUGGCAUUGAUACUGUUAAACUUGAGUAAAGUUGAGGUAGGCGGAAUUGAUGGUGUAGCGGUGAAAUGCAAUAGAUAUCAUCAAGAACAUCGAUUGCGAAGGCAGCUUACUAAGCUUUAACUGACGCUCAUGCACGAAAGCGUGGGGAGCAAACAGG
rnacentral:rRNA from 1 species